UGCGUAACGCGUAUGCAACCUGCCUGACACAGGGGGAUAAUCCGAAGAAAUUUGGUCUAAUACCCCAUAAUACCGAUAUAGGCAUCUAUGUUGGUUGAAAGCUUUGGUGGUGUCAGAUGGGCAUGCGUUGUAUUAGCUAGUUGGUGAGGUAACGGCUCACCAAGGCGACGAUACAUAGGGGGACGUGAGAGGUUAACCCCCCACACUGGUACUGAGACACGGACCAGACUCCUACGGGAGGCAGCAUG
rnacentral:rRNA from 1 species